CGAGCGCACCCUUGUCCUCAGUUACCAGCACGUUAUGGUGGGCACUCUGGGGAGACUGCCGGUGACAAACCGGAGGAAGGUGGGGACGACGUCAAGUCAUCAUGGCCCUUACGGCCAGGGCUACACACGUGCUACAAUGGUGCAUACAGACGGUUGCCAAGCCGCGAGGUGGAGCUAAUCUGAGAAAGCGCAUCGUAGUCCGGAUUGGAGUCUGCAACUCGACUCCAUGAAGUCGGAAUCGCUAGUAAUCGUGAAUCAGAAUGUCACGGUGAAUACGUUCCCGGGCCUU
rnacentral:rRNA from 1 species